UACGUAGGGUGCAAGCGUUGUCCGGAAUUAUUGGGCGUAAAGAGCUCGUAGGCGGUGUGUCGCGUCGGCCGUGAAAACCUGCAGCUUAACUGUGGGCUUGCGGUCGAUACGGGCAUCACUGGAGUUCGGCAGGGGAGACUGGAAUUCCUGGUGUGGCGGUGAAAUGCGCAGAUAUCAGGAGGAACACCGGUGGCGAAGGCGGGUCUCUGGGCCGAUACUGACGCUGAGGAGCGAAAGCGUGGGGAGCGAACAGG
rnacentral:rRNA from 1 species